ACAUCUCUUGGAGUUCUAGCUCACCUUUCUGGUGUUGUUCUUGUACUCAUCUGUUUAAUCUAGUUCUGCCACUUCUUCUUGAACUUCUUGUUAGAUUUCAAGUCUGUAUUUUGUGUCCGUGAUAGUUUGUCGAGACUACACUAACUUGAGAUAUCAGAGCUAGUUCUUUCUUAGUAGAGUGUGGAUUACCCCUCUACUUGAAGGUAUACUAGUAUUUUUUAGAGGUUGCGGAUUACCCUCCUCUAAACUGAUACUUCUUCUGUUACAAUAUUGGAGUCUUAUUCUUCUUGGAGAGAGUGGAUUACCCCUCUUCUUGAAAUUCUUAAGGCGUUUUAUAGGUUGUGGAUUACCCUCCUAUAAAUCAAUAUUGCCUCUUAUAAGGUCAUUUUUGUCCUUGUUUUAGAAUGGCCGGAGGUCAAGACAUUAGUAUGACAGAAAGUUCGGAGUCUAAGUUAGAUGCUAUUAUGAAUGCCCUCGCUACGUUAUCACAAAGAACUGCAGAGAUUGAAGGAGUGGUGGCAAGGCUUCAUAAUGAUGGAGUAUCUAGGAUAACAUAAUCUAAACUACACCAGCCUCAAAUUUCGACACUUGGAGAAACAACUUUACCUCAGGUUCGACAAGA
rnacentral:lncRNA from 1 species